rnacentral:rRNA from 1 species
GACGAACGCUGGCGGCGUGCUUAACACAUGCAAGUCGAACGGACAGGCCCUGCUUUUGUGGGUUGCUCGAGUGGCGAACGGGUGAGUAACACGUGAGUAACCUGCCCUUGACUUUCGGAUAACUUCUCGAAACUGGGGCUCAUACCGGAUAUGAUCUCCUGCUGCAUGGUGGGGGUUGGAAAGUUUCGGCGGUUGGGGCUGGACUCGCGGCUUAUCAGCCUAUUUGUGGGGUAGUGGCUUACCAAGGUUUUGACGGGUAGCCGGCCUGAGAGGGGUGCCGGCAACAUUAGGACUGAGAUACGGACCAGACGGGUACGGGAGGCAGCAGGGGGGAACAUGGCAGAAUAGGCGGAAGCCAGAGGCAGCAACGCUGCGUGCGGGAUAACGGCCUUCGGGUUGUAAACCGCUGUCGCAGGUGAUGAAGCGUGAGUGACGGUAAUGGGUAAAGAAGCACCGGCUAACUACGUG